GCUAUACAUGCAGUCGAGCGAACAGACGAGGAGCUUGCUCCUCUGACGUUAGCGGCGGACGGCCGUGUAACACGUGGAUAACCUACCUAUAAGACUGGGAUAACUUCGGGAAACCGGAGCUAAUACCGGAUAAUAUAUUGAACCGCAUGGUUCAAUAGUGAAAGACGGUUUUGCUGUCACUUAUAGAUGGAUCCGCGCCGCAUUAGCUAGUUGGUAAGGUAACGGCUUACCAAGGCAACGAUGCGUAGCCGACCUGAGAGGGUGAUCGGCCACACUGGAACUGAGACACGGUCCAGACUCCUACGGGAGGCAGCAGUAGGGAAUCUUCCGCAAUGGGCGAAAGCCUGACGGAGCAACGCCGCGUGAGUGAUGAAGGUCUUCGGAUCGUAAAACUCUGUUAUUAGGGAAGAACAAAUGUGUAAGUAACUAUGCACGUCUUGACGGUACCUAAUCAGAAAGCCACGGCUAACUACGUGCCAGCAGCCGCGGUAAUACGUAGGUGGCAAGCGUUAUCCGGAAUUAUUGGGCGUAAAGCGCGCGUAGGCGGUUUUUUAAGUCUGAUGUGAAAGCCCACGGCUCAACCGUGGAGGGUCAUUGGAAACUGGAAAACUUGAGUGCAGAAGAGGAAAGUGGAAUUCCAUGUGUAGCGGUGAAAUGCGCAGAGAUAUGGAGGAACACCAGUGGCGAAGGCGACUUUCUGGUCUGUAACUGACGCUGAUGUGCGAAAGCGUGGGGAUCAAACAGGAUUAGAUACCCUGGUAGUCCACGCCGUAAACGAUGAGUGCUAAGUGUUAGGGGGUUUC
rnacentral:rRNA from 1 species